rnacentral:antisense_RNA from 1 species
GCGCACCGGAACGCCGCAGCCGGCGCUCGGUCCAUCCGGCCCGUGGGCUGUGGGGCCCCGGGCGGCGGUGGCUACGUAGCUGCCGCCGGCCUUGGCCGCGGCCGGGCGGGCGGAUAUGUGGCUUAAAUGGCGCAGGCGUCGGGGCUUAGAGGCUGAAGGGCUGGUCGUCCUAAAAACUCGUGGACGUCGCGCACGGUUACCCGGACGCAGGCCCGCCCCUCCGAGGAACCGCGAGCUCCUCGCAGCUGGGUGGGGACCGUCCUCGCAGUGGCGGCCUCCACCCUGCCUUCUCGCUUAGCCAAGGCUUCUGGAAGGCUCGCGAAGUGUCUGUUGUUGGAAGAAGCCGGGCCCUGACUGGCGCGACGGAUUCGCCCAGCCGCUCAGCAGAGCGUCUGUAGGUCGGAAGUGGGGGUUAUAUUGGAAUAUGCUUUUUGUCUAAUGAUGUUAGAUAAAAAGCAAAUUUGGAGCAGUUUUCUUAUUCGAGUUCAAAAUGGUUCAUAAAGCAGCGAAGACAACUCAAAACAUCAGUAACACAUUUGGCCCAGGAACUGCUAACAAACAUACAGUGCAGUGGUGGCUUAAGAAGUUUUGCAAGGAAGAGAGCCUUGAAGAUGAGGAACGUGAUAUGGGCCAUGGGAAGUUGACAACGACCAAUUGAGAGCAAUCAUUGAACUACAUGAAAAAUUACAGAAGAACUCAGCGUUGACUAUUCUACGGUCAUUAGGGUCGCUCAGCAUUAGAAGCAAAUCGGAAAGGUGAAAAAGCUUGAUAAGUGGGUGCCUCAUGAGCUGAGCGGAAAUCAAAACUAUCGUUUUGAAGUGUAGUCUUCUUUUAUGCUACGCAAUAACAAACCAUUUCUCAAUCGGAUUGUGACAUGUAACGAAAAGUGAAUUUUAUACAACAACCCGCUCAGUGGUUGGACCAAGAGGCAGCUCCAGAGCAGUUCCCAAAGCCAAACUUGCACCAAAAAAAAGGUCAUGGUCACUGUUUGGUGGUCUGCUGCCCAUCUGAUCCACUACAGUUUUCUGAAUCCUGGCGAAACCAUUACAUCUGAGAAGUAUGCUCAGCAAAUUGGUAAGAUGCACCGAAAACUGCAAUACCUGCUGCCUGCAUUGGUCAACAGAAAGGGCCCAAUUCUUCUCCACGACAACACCUGACUGCGUGUUGCACAACCAGUGCUUCAAAAGUUGAAGGAAUUGGGCUACAAAGUUUUGCCUCAUCCACCAUAUUCACCUGACCUUUCGCCAACUGACUACCACUUCUGCUAGCAUCUUGACAACUUUUUGCAGGGAAAACACUUCAGCAUGAUGCAGAAAAUGCUUUCCAAGAGUUCGUCAAAUCCUGAAGCACGGAUUUUUAUGCUACAGGAAUAAACAAACAUUUCUCAUUGGCAAAAAUGUGUUGAUUGUAAUGGUUCCUGUUUUGAUUAAUAGAAUAUGUUUUAGCGUAGUUACAAUGAUUUAAAAUUCGCAGUCUGGAAAUUUAAUUUUUGCAUCAACCUAAUAUUUCUAUGGUAAAUCCUUGCAAACAUGGAAACAAUGCAUUUGGCCCAGUGCUUUGUGGUUGUGUACUCUUUUUCUUUCUUUUUUUAAUAGAUGGCAUUGGCCGGGCAUGGUGGCUCAUGCCUGUAAUCCCAGCAUUUUGGGAGGGUGAGGUGGGUGGAUCACCUGAGGUCAGGAGUUCAAGACCAGCCUGACUAACAUGGUAAAACCCCAUCUCUACUAAAAAUACAAAAAAAUUAGGCGGGGUGGCGGGCAUCUAAUUCCAGCUACUUCAUGAGGCUGCAACAGGAGAAUCAUUUGAACCCGGGAGGCAGAGGUUGCAGUGAGCCGAGAUCACACCAUUGCACUCCAGCCUGGGCGAUGAGUGAAACUGUCUCAAAAAAAAAAAAAAAGUUGGGGUCUCGCUGUGUUGACCAGGCUGGUCUCGAACUCCUGGCCUCAAGUGAUCCUCCCAUCUUGGCCUCCCAAAGUGUUAGGAUUACAGGCGUGAGCCACCGCACCCUGCCUGGUUGUGUACUCUUUCAAAUACUAAGUUUUUAAUGUUAAAUGCUGCUUUUAGAUACACUGUAAAAAUUCACCUAUCAAUGAGUUUUUUUAUUAAAAACAUUGCAAUUGUACUAGACUUUUAUACUAGACUAGCAAUAAUUGUAUUAGACUAGCAAUUGUACUAGACUAGCAAUAAUUCAGGCUUCAAUGUUGGUUUAUAGUUUUCUCAUUUCUUUCAUUUAAUAGCUCUGUAAAAUGAAGCAGUUACUUCCAUUUUCCUGAGGUGAGAUAAGUUAAGUGCCCUGCACAAUGUUAUAGGUCCAGUAAGUGAGACUGGAGCUCUGAUCUAAUCCCUUUGACGUUAAAGUUUGUGCAGUAAACCAGCUAUGUCAGUUUGCCACAUUUGUAAUAGUGUUCAAUAAAUUUUCACUUAAAGGUUUAAUAUUAAAGUAGUAGCAAGAAUUCAUAACCUUAAUUGGCUUUAACAGCUUUUCUUUCCCUGAAAACAGAUGCAUAUGUACACAUGCACACAGAUUGCUUACAAUAUCAGCACAUAAAAGGCCUUUGCACAUUGAAGUCGGCACUGCUUUGGUGCCUUUUUUGUUUUUUGGCUCGGUGUUUUGACUGCAAGUCUUUUUGGAUAGAAUUUUAUAGUUAGAAAGUAGCUAACACUUGGGUUUUAUAGGCACAAAAAACAAGUCUUAUACUAGCUGUACUUUAUUUUUUGAGUUCUUAUUAAUGAGGAACAUCCACUUUUGCAUUGACAGUGAUUUCAAGAUUGCUUUAUCAGCCUUUAAAGGAUUCUUGACUAGUCAUGCACAUCAGAACUGCCAGGUCCCCAGUGGUUCUGAAGCAGUAAGCUUUGGGUGGGCUCUGGCAUCAGCACUUUCACUAAGCUUCACAGAUAAUUCUGAUGCAUACUCCAGGCCUGAACCACUGUUCAAUUUGAAACAUGCAUAACAAAGCAAAAAAAGUUUUGUUUCACCUUUUGAAAUACAGCUAACUCUUUUACCAUGCCAGAGAUCAUUCAGAGAGACAGGUCCUUGCUCCGGAGUGAUAUAGAUCUGGCAGUACCCAGCCCUUGUGUGUGUGCGUUAGCUCAGCACCUGCCCACACUGCGAGCCCCCGUAGGAUGUGCCUUGUCCUUCCCUGUUUCAGCACUUAACACAAUACCUGGUACAGAGUAUGUAGUGGGCAUCUGUUGAAUGAAUGCUUUUCCCAGUAGCAGUGUAUUCAUACAAUAUUAAUAUAAUUGUCCCCUGGUUUACAGAUAAAAAUGAAAGCAUCAAGUGCCCAGUGAGUGAGACCCAGGUGUUCUUCCUCCACCCCUAGUGGUCCCCUGGGCAGGUCUUUUUUUUUUGUAACACCAGUCUGUUCUGUAGUCAAUCAUUGAUUGACUUGUCUGUGAACUUGGAGGAACUGUUUCAUAGUUUCAUUAGCACAGAGUAAACGUGUUUGCCAUGCAAGGUUAUUUUGCAUCUGCAUUUAAGUGAUAAUGUUGAAUCAAUGAAAAGUUUUGAUUAAGCAAUAGUUGUAGAUAUGCUAAGUUUUUCAAAUUACUAAUAUCAAGUGGAGAUUGUUUUUACUUUUAAGGGGAUUGCUUUUGUGAUAGCAUAAAUAAUGGUUUUCCUUUUUUGUGAUGUAAAUUAAUUGCUGGCAACUUUUGUAUUCCCAUAGACUGGGGAAGCUUAAUUGCCUUUAUAAGUACUUAUGUACAACUUUGUAUCAAAUUUUCUGUAAUAGUUUAUGCUUUAGUACUAUAUAUGUACUAAUAAUUUUAUCUGACUUCUGUUUAUAUCGUUUGUACAAUUACAUGGUUGUAAAAUAAACUUUUAAACAUCA